GAUGAACGCUGGCGGCGUGCCUAAUACAUGCAAGUCGAGCGAACGGACGAGAAGCUUGCUUCUCUGAUGUUAGCGGCGGACGGGUGAGUAACACGUGGAUAACCUACCUAUAAGACUGGGAUAACUUCGGGAAACCGGAGCUAAUACCGGAUGAUAUUUUGAACCGCAUGGUUCAAAAGUGAAAGACGGUCUUGCUGUCACUUAUAGAUGGAUCCGCGCUGCAUUAGCUAGUUGGUAAGGUAACGGCUUACCAAGGCAACGAUGCAUAGCCGACCUGAGAGGGUGAUAGGCCACACUGGAACUGAGACACGGUCCAGACUCCUACGGGAGGCAGCAGUAGGGAAUCUUCCGCAAUGGGCGAAAGCCUGACGGAGCAACGCCGCGUGAGUGAUGAAGGUCUUCGGAUCGUAAAACUCUGUUAUUAGGGAAGAACAUAUGUGUAAGUAACUGUGAACAUCUUGACGGUACCUAAUCAGAAAGCCACGGCUAACUACGUG
rnacentral:rRNA from 1 species